UCCUACGGGAGGCAGCAGUGGGGAAUUGUUCGCAAUGGGCGCAAGCCUGACGACGCAACGCCGCGUGGAGGACGAAGAUCUUCGGGUCGUAAACUCCUGUCGAGUGGGAAGAAUGGUUCGGGGAUAAAUAUUCUCCGGAAUUGACGGUACCACUAAAGGAAGCCCCGGCUAACUCCGUGCCAGCAGCCGCGGUAAUACGGGGGGGGCAAGCGUUGUUCGGAAUUACUGGGCGUAAAGGGCUCGUAGGCGGCCAACUAAGUCCGACGUGAAAUCCCAAGGCUUAACCUUGGAACUGCGUCGGAUACUGGAUGGCUUGAAUUCGGGAAAGGGAUGCAGAAUUCCAGGUGUAGCGGUGAAAUACGUAGAUAUCUGGAGGAAUACCGGUGGCGAAGGCGGCAUCCUGGACCGACAUUGACGCUGAGGAGCGAAAGCUAGGGGAGCAAACGGGAUUAGAUACCCCGGUAGUCCUAGCCCUAAACGAUGAAUGCUUGGUGUAGCGGGUAUCGAUCCCUGCUGUGCCGAAGCUAACGCAUUAAGCAUUCCGCCUGGGGAGUACGGUCGCAAGGCUGAAACUCAAAGGAAUUGACGGGGGCCCGCACAAGCGGCGGAGCAUGUGGAUUAAUUCGAUGCAACGCGAAGAACCUUACCAAGGCUUGACAUACACCGGAAACAUCCAGAGAUGGGUGCCCCGCAAGUCGGUAUACAGGUGGUGCAUGGUCGUCGUCAGCUCGUGUCGUGAGAUGUUGGGUUAAGUCCCGCAACGAGCGCAACCCUCGUUCUAUGUUGCCAGCACGUAAUGGUGGGAACUCAUAGGAGACUGCCGGGGUCAACUCGGAGGAAGGUGGGGAUGACGUCAAAUCAUCAUGCCCCUUAUGUCUUGGGCUUCACGCAUGCUACAAUGGCCGGUACAAAGGGCUGCGAUACCGUAAGGUGGAGCGAAUCCCAAAAAGCCGGUCUCAGUUCGGAUUGAGGUCUGCAACUCGACCUCAUGAAGUCGGAGUCGCUAGUAAUCGCAGAUCAGCAACGCUGCGGUGAAUACGUUCCCGGGCCUUGUACACACCGCCAU
rnacentral:rRNA from 1 species